rnacentral:lncRNA from 1 species
CAACGGCCAUUUCUUUUAGUAUUUUGUGGUCGAAAGGCCACGCGCUGUGGCACGAGCUGUGGCCCUUUCGGCCACAGUUCGUUAGAAAGUAUUCAAAGCGCAUGGCCUUUCGGCCACACACUUGUUUCUGUCGCCUUUUAAAAAAAAACCACGGCAGACACGGUGAAGAGUCAUUUUUCUCGUUUGGCUAUAAAAACCAAAUGAGAGCCUCAGCUAUCCAACAUAAAUGAAGUACCCUCUGAGUCUCUGAGGGAUAGCUAGAGCAGGGUAGAUUUGAAAGAUAGCCCACAAAUUGAGAGCGAAG